rnacentral:lncRNA from 1 species
GUGCAAAUGUGCUUGCAGGCGAUCCAACACGUGCUAAAUAAACGGCUGCAAGCGGUCCUGCACACUUUAAAUUAACACCUACAGCUGCUAACUAUACACGCUAACUUUUGUCUUUGAAAAUUGUUGUUACUGAAUCAUAAAGCUUAUCAGCUAGUUUACAGUGGAAGGAUCUGUUUCUCAUCACUGGCUAUAAAAUUCAGAUAACAAUCUAGCACCAGGAUCAGCAGUGCUUAGCAUAAACUAAGUCAGAUACAGGCUAGCUAAUUUAGCUAACGUCGGUAGCCUCGAACCCCAGCCAUUAUUAGUUUGCCUCAAACUCUGACCGGCCAUACUGCUAGCCGCAGUGAACAACGCAGUCUUGUGUUUUAUUAAGAAAAAACAUGCUGAAAAAACAUGUCAACCAUAACAGCCACGGAAACACAUUAGACUAUGUUAAUACUAUCGAGGUAAAUUACAUACUAGCAAGGUUGUUGCUUGAAUGCAGGGCCAGGCAUACAUAGAUUAGACAAUGGAGAUACUCCAAAAACAUAAUGUUCAAAAUCCUGCUAGUUGUCGAUUUUUGGACUGUUUUGGACAAGCUACCUAAAUGUGACUAAUAGGCUAGUACUGAAGCAGGACAUGUUUUUUGUUGUUGUAUUUAAUUAAGCUAAACAACAGCUGAAGAAGGGAACCAUAAAGAGGAGCUUGGAGUGGGCAAGGGGUGGCUGAUAAAGCAGCAGAGAAGACCUGAUUCAACAAGUAUCACGCUUAACUCUGGUGAUUCUCAUCUGGUUGGCAUGCACAACACUGCAAGAAUUGUAGCUGUGGCUCCACUGGGAAUCCCAGCCUAGGAAUGGCCGAAGCCCCGGAAGUGAAAAUGAGAAUCUUCUCCAGGGUUAAAGGGUGGGGAGAGCAUUGCUGUGAAGAGAGAAGAUUUGUCUUUGGCCAAAAGAGGUUUCUCAGCGUAGAUGAAAACCUCUGAAGAGGCUUGAGUGUCUAUUCAUGGAUGACUUACUCAUUGUCAUUACCAACAUCAACAGACGAGAGUGGACUCCAUGGAGGGGAGGCCACAUAUUGUGGUGAAGGUGGACGAUAAGCCUCAGGGAAUGGUGGAGGGAAGGCCGCAGGAAGUGGUAUAGGUGGAGGGAAGGCCACAGGAAGUUGCAC